rnacentral:rRNA from 1 species
AGAGUUUGAUCCUGGCUCAGGAUGAACGCUAGCGGCAGGCUUAACACAUGCAAGUCGAGGGGCAGCGGGGAGGAAGCUUGCUUUCUCCGCCGGCGACCGGCGCACGGGUGAGUAACACGUAUGCAACCUGCCCCUGUCAGGGGGACAACCCGCCGAAAGGCGGGCUAAACCCGCGUACAUGCCACCGGGGCAUCCCGGAGGCAGGAAAGGCUUCGGCCGGACAGGGAUGGGCAUGCGGCGCAUUAGGCAGUAGGCGGGGUAACGGCCCACCUAACCGACGAUGCGUAGGGGUUCUGAGAGGAAGGUCCCCCACACUGGUACUGAGACACGGACCAGACUACUACGGGAGGCAGCAGUGAGGAAUAUUGGUCAAUGGUCGGGAGACUGAACCAGCCAAGCCGCGUGAGGGAUGAAGGUACAGAGUAUCGUAAACCUCUUUUGUCAGGGAACAAAGGCGGGGACGCGUCCCCGGAUGAGUGUACCUGAAGAAAAAGCAUCGGCUAACUCCGUGCCAGCAGCCGCGGUAAUACGGAGGAUGCGAGCGUUAUCCGGAUUUAUUGGGUUUAAAGGGUGCGCAGGCGGUCUGUUAAGUCAGCGGUCAAAGCCCGGGGCUCAACCCCGGCCCGCCGUUGAAACUGGCAGUCUCGAGUUGGAGAGAAGUAUGCGGAAUGCGCGGUGUAGCGGGUGAAAUGCAUAGAUAUCGCGCAGAACUCCGAUUGCGAAGGCAGCAUGCCGGCUCCACACUGACGCUGAGGCACGAAAGCGUGGGUAUCGAACAGGAUUAGAUACCCUGGUAGUCCACGCAGUAAACGAUGAAUGCUGGCUGUCCGGGGGGAUUGACCCCUGGGUGGCGAAGCGAAAGCGAUAAGCAUUCCACCUGGGGAGUACGCCGGCAACGGUGAAACUCAAAGGAAUUGACGGGGGCCCGCACAAGCGGAGGAACAUGUGGUUUAAUUCGAUGAUACGCGAGGAACCUUACCCGGGCUCAAACGGGGAGUGACUCAGGCAGAGACGCCUGUUUCCCACGGGACACUCCCCGAGGUGCUGCAUGGUUGUCGUCAGCUCGUGCCGUGAGGUGUCGGCUUAAGUGCCAUAACGAGCGCAACCCCCGCGUGCAGUUGCUAACAGAUAACGCUGAGGACUCUGCACGGACUGCCGGCGCAAGCCGCGAGGAAGGCGGGGAUGACGUCAAAUCAGCACGGCCCUUACGUCCGGGGCGACACACGUGUUACAAUGGGUGGUACAGCGGGAAGCCAGGCGGCGACGCCGAGCGGAACCCGAAAUCCACUCUCAGUUCGGAGUCUGCAACCCGACUCCGUGAAGCUGGAUUCGCUAGUAAUCGCGCAUCAGCCAUGGCGCGGUGAAUACGUUCCCGGGCCUUGUACACACCGCCCGUCA